GACGAACGCUGGCGGCGUGCUUAACACAUGCAAGUCGAACGGAAAGGCCCUGCUUGCAGGGUACUCGAGUGGCGAACGGGUGAGUAACACGUGGGUGAUCUGCCCUGCACUUCGGGAUAAGCCUGGGAAACUGGGUCUAAUACCGGAUAGGAGCCAUUUUUAGUGUGAUGGUUGGAAAGUUUUUUCGGUGUAGGAUGAGCUCGCGGCCUAUCAGCUUGUUGGUGGGGUAAUGGCCUACCAAGGCGGCGACGGGUAGCCGGCCUGAGAGGGUGGACGGCCACAUUGGGACUGAGAUACGGCCCAGACUCCUACGGGAGGCAGCAGUGGGGAAUAUUGCGCAAUGGGCGCAAGCCUGAUGCAGCGACGCCGCGUGGGGGAUGACGGCCUUCGGGUUGGAAACUCCUUUCGCUAGGGACGAAGCUUUUUGUGACGGUACCUAGAGAAGAAGCACCGGCUAACUACGUG
rnacentral:rRNA from 1 species